GGAAGUGUCCCUGCAAGAGAUAAUGAGGGAAAGAAAUUAGGCAGUGACAGUAGAAAAUAUUUAAAGGCUAAAAUUGAUAGGACUAUGAUUGAUUGAACAUGGGGAUGGAGGCAGAAAUGAAAAAAAGCAAGGUCGGGCGCAGUGGCUCACGUCUGUAAUCCCAACACUUUGGCAGGCCGAGGCUAGCAGAUCACGAGGUCAGGAGAUCAAGACCAUCCUGGCUAACACGGUGAAACCCCGUCUCUACUAAAAAUACAAAAAAAUUAGCCGGGCAUGGUGGCAGGCGCCUGUAGUCCCAUCUACUCGGGAGGCUGAGGCAGGAGUAUGGCGAGAACCCAAGAGGUGGAGGUUGCAGUGAGCCGAGAUCGCACCACUGUGCUCCAGCCUGCGUGACAGAGCAAGACUCCAUCUCAUUAAAAAAAAGAAAAAAGAAAAAAGAAAGAAAAAAACGAAGUAGUCCACAUUGUCUCUUACGUUUCUGUCUUUGAUAACCAGGUAGGUGGAGUGGGGGAAAGGGGUGUGUUUAUGAGAGAGGUCUUGCGUUAGAAGGAGUAGAUUGUGGAGGAUCAAGAAACUUAAGGUGAUCCAUUUCAGUAUGCCUGGGAGUGGUGAAGGCAAAGACAAGCAAAUAAAAAGAGUCCCUUUAGAGUUCUUCCAGUCAAAAUAGUUGGUGAAUCACCGCUACCUUGGGUUUAAACAAAAAGCACUCAAAUACUAGAACUCAAAUGAACACUGAUGGUGAUACCAAGAAAAAAGCCCCACUGGGCGCAGUGGUUCAGGCCUGUAAUCCCAGCACUUUGGGAGGCUGAGGCGGGUGGAUCACUUGAAGUCGGGAGUUCAAGACCAGCCUGGCUAACAUGGUGAAACCUUGUCUCUACUAAAAUACAAAAAUUACCUGGCGUGGUGGCGGGCGCCUGUAAUUUCAGGUACUCAGGAGGCUGAGGCAGGAGAACCACUUGAACCUGGGAAGUGGCGGUUGCAGUGAGCCAAGAUCGCGCCACUGCACUCCAACCUGGGCGACAGAGUGAGACUCAGUCUCAAAAAAAAAAAAAAAAGUCCCAAUAUUAAUCCUUGCCCCCAGAAUGUUAUCAAUCUGUCAUUAAAACAUACGGGUUUUUGGCUGGCAGCAGUGGCUCAUGCCUGUAAUCCCAGCACUAUGGGAGGCCAAGGUGGGUGGAUCACUUGAAGUCAGGAGUUCAAAACCAGCUGGCCAACAUGGUGGUCUCCACUAAAGACACAACAAUUAACUGGGUGUGCUGGCGGGCGCCUGUAAUCCCAGCUACUCAGGAGGCUGAGGCAGGAGAAUCGCUUAAACCCUGGAGGCGGAGCUUGCAGUGAGCUGAGAUCGUGCACUCCAGCCUGGGCGACAGAGCAAGUCUCCAUCUCAAAAAAAAAAAAAACUGGUUUUCAAGAGAUCAGCAAAGAGAAGACAGUGGCAGUUCAGACUUGAAGUGGCCAAACGCAGAGUAAGGACACCACUCUGGUGAGUUGCUGCGCUUACGUCUGCUUUUCAAAAAGCCACUGUCCUCCCCCUUUUGCAUCUGAAUAAGGAACAAGGAAAUACCACGUAUGUGAUGUGACAGGAUGCCAGCAGAGAAGCCUCGGUCACUUGUGUAAAAUAAGCACAACCCUAUUCUGCCAUGUCCACUUGGUCUUAGCCCGUGUGACUUUCUGCCCCCCAACUCUCUUCUCUUUUACCUCUCAUUAUCCUACAUCUCCCCUAGAGCAUGUGGCUCUAUUCCUCACAUCCCAGCUUUGUCAUUAAUUAGGUUGUUCAUUGCGUUUCCAUUUGAGGAUUACAGAGCUCAAAGGUCCUUAAAAAAAAAAAAAACAGGCCAGGCGCGGUGGCUCAUGCCUGUAAUCCCAGCACUUUGGGAGGCUGAGGCGGGUGGGUCACCUAAGGUCAAGAGUUCCAGACCAGCCUGACCAAACUGGUGAAACCCCGUCUCUACUAAAAAAUACAAAAAUUAGCUGGGCGUGGUGGCGGGUGCCUGUAAUCCCAGCUACUCGGGAAGCUAAGGCAGGAGAAUCACUUGAACCUGGGAGGCAGAGGUUGCAGUGAGCUGAGGUUGCGCCACUGUGCUCCAGCCUGGGCGACAGAGCAAGACUCCAUCUCAAAAACAAAAAAACUAAAACAUAUUCCUCCUAUUACGGGUACCCCUUUUCUGAUCAAGAAACUUUCAUUUGCCUCCACGUACCAGGCAACUACAUGCUUUCCUUCUGCUGUUUGCAGUCUUAGUCACAACCCCAUGGAAGGAUUAGGCGCAAAUGUCACUCUGCUGUUUCCUUCAGUAGAUGAUGAAUACAACUUGGAAUCCAGCACGCAACUUAGUUUCCCCAAGACUAAUAAAAUAAGAUUUUGCUCCUUACUUUACCUUACAAAUUGAAUUCAUACGGAGAUAAUAUUUCCUGUGAGAUCACACAUAACACUCA
rnacentral:lncRNA from 10 species